GGAUGGAUGUCUGAGCGGUUUAAGGUAUCGGUCUUGAAAACCGACGCGUGAUGAGCGCCGGGGGUUCGAAUCCCUCUCCAUCCG
rnacentral:tRNA from 1 species